GUACUCACAUCAGCAGCACAUUUACAAAAACUGGAAUAAUACUGAAAAGAUUAGCAUGGCCCAUGCCCAAGGGUGACACAAAAAUUCAUCAAGUGUUCCAUAUUUUU